AUUUUGGAGUCCAUGGAGAAGCCCAACUCAUCUUUUCUUCAUUGCAUAUUGCAGCCCAAUAUAUAUCCCAACUCCCAACUCCACGUGUCUUUUGCAAAAGCAGCCAGAUCCCCCCCAACCGCCUGAAAACAAUUCUCCAAUAUAUUAUUGUGAUACUACAAUUCCAUCACAGUUGAUCAAUUCCAAAGAAAUCUAGAGCUAGAGAAAAGAACGACCAAAGAGUUCUUUUCUUUCCUUUUCAAAGACAAUUUUCCAACCUAAGAAAGCUACCUCCGCGAGCAAGUUAUGGUCGAAGUAACGAAAUUCAAGUAUAAACGCAUGAGGUUGAGCAGUGACGGUGGAGAAUGCUGAGCAGAGUUAUGAUUUUCUUUUUAUUUUAAGUAGAGGCUCUCGGCGGUGCAUGUCUCCAUACAUGUGACUGUGUUAAUUCCGCUGCGUAUUAAGGUUUUAGAUGACAUCGACUGUUACUCUGAUAAUUAUUUAUUAAAA